rnacentral:rRNA from 1 species
UACGGAGGGCGCGAGCGUUAAUCGGAAUUACUGGGCGUAAAGCGCGCGUAGGCUGUUGUGUAAGUUGGGGGUGAAAUCCCACGGCUCAACCGUGGAACAGCCCUUGAUACUGCGCGACUUGAAUCCGGGAGAGGGUGGCGGAAUUCGUGGUGUAGCGGUGAAAUGCUUAGAUAUCACGAAGAACUCCGAUUGCGAAGGCAGCUCACUGGACUGCAACUGACACUGAGGCUCGAAAGUGUGGGUAUCAAACAGG